rnacentral:lncRNA from 1 species
CACGGGGGAAAUCCACCCGCGCCUGGAGCAGGGAGCGAACCGCUCCCCUUCUCCCCGCUGCACAGUUCAUGGCAGCUGACAGGCUGCUUCUGCCAAUCCUCCCUCUCCUAGACUUCUGCAAUUUUUCUUCAUCUCUGUUUAACUGAAAGUGAGCAUCCUAUCAGAUAUUUUAAGGAAAUCUCUCACACACACUGUGGUGAGAAAAUUUGCUACUGUGAUGAUUCUGGGUGUGGAUUUAUAGG